CCUACGGGAGGCAGCAGUGAGGAAUAUUGGUCAAUGGGCGUAAGCCUGAACCAGCCAAGUCGCGUGAGGGAUGAAGGUUCUAUGGAUCGUAAACCUCUUUUAUAAGGGAAUAAAGUGUGGGACGUGUCCUAUUUUGUAUGUACCUUAUGAAUAAGGAUCGGCUAACUCCGUGCCAGCAGCCGCGGUAAGACGGAGGAUCCGAGCGUUAUCCGGAUUUAUUGGGUUUAAAGGGUACGUAGGCGGCCUAUUAAGUCAGAGGUGAAAGUCUGGGGCUUAACCAUAGAAUUGCCGUUGAUACUGGUGGGCUAGAGUAUGUUUGAGGCAGGCGGAAGUCGUGGUGUAGCGGUGAAAUGCGUAGAGAUCAGGCAGAACCCCGAUUGCGAAGGCAGCCUGCCAAGCCAUGACUGACGCUGAUGCACGAAAGCGUGGGGAGCAAACAGGAUUAGAUACCCGAGUAGUC
rnacentral:rRNA from 1 species